rnacentral:tRNA from 1 species
GGAGGGUACAGCUCAGUGGUAGAGUGUGUGCUUAGCAUGCACAAGAUCCUGGGUUCAAUCCCCAGAACCUCCA